rnacentral:rRNA from 1 species
UACGUAGGGCGCAAGCGUUGUCCGGAAUUAUUGGGCGUAAAGAGCUCGUAGGCGGCUUGUCACGUCGGGUGUGAAAGCCCGGGGCUCAACCCUGAGACGCCAUCCGAUACUGCGCUGACUAGAAUCCAGUAGGGGAGUGUGGAAUUCCUGGUGUAGCGGUGAAAUGCGCAGAUAUCAGGAGGAACACCCAUGGCGAAGGCAGCACUCUGGGCUGGAAUUGACGCUGAGGAGCGAAAGCAUGGGUAGCGAACAGG